rnacentral:rRNA from 1 species
UACGUAGGGGGCAAGCGUUGUCCGGAAUUAUUGGGCGUAAAGAGCGCGUAGGCGGUCCGAUAAGUCGGCUGUGAAAGUCAUGGGCUCAACCCAUGAAAGCCGGCCGAUACUGUCGGACUAGAGUCCGGAAGAGGCGAGUGGAGUUCCUGGUGUAGCGGUGAAAUGCGCAGAUAUCAGGAGGAACACCGGUGGCGAAGGCGGGUCUCUGGGCCGAAACUGACGCUGAGGAGCGAAAGCGUGGGGAGCAAACGGG